rfam:Dipodomys ordii contig_6288, whole genome shotgun sequence.
GGUGGCUUAUUGGUAGAGUGCUUGCCUUGCAUGCAUGAAGCCCUGGGUUCGAUUCCUCAGCACCA